rnacentral:rRNA from 1 species
AUGAACGCUGGCGGCUGCCUAAACAUGCAAGUCGGGCGGCAGCAUGAUAUGUAGAAAUACAUAUUGAUGGCGAGCGGCGGACGGGUGAGUAGAGCAUAGAGAUCUGCCUUAUAGAGGAGGAUAACUUGGGGAAACUCGAGCUAAUACUGCGUAAGUUCUACGGAAGAAAGGGUGGGACCUGAGAGGGCCACUCGCUAUAAGAUGAGUCUAUGUCGGAUUAGUUAGUUGGUGAGGUAAAGGCUUACCAAGACAGAGAUCCGUAGCUGGUCUGAGAGGAUGAUCAGCCACACUGGGACUGAGACACGGCCCAGACUCCUACGGGAGGCAGCAGUGGGGAAUAUUGGACAAUGGGGGCAACCCUGAUCCAGCGAUGCCGCGUGUGAGAAGAAGGCCUGCGGGUUGUAAAUCACUUUAGUUGGGGAAGAAGGGCGGAAGGUUAAGAGCUAUUUGUCAUGACGUUACCCAAAGAAUAAGCACCGGCUAACUCUGUGCCAGCAGCCGCGGUAAUACAGAGGGUGCGAGCGUUAAUCGGAAUUACUGGGCGUAAGGGCGCGUA